CGUACAUCCAGAGAACUUAGCAGAGAUGCUUGGUGCCUUCGGGAACUCUGAGACAGGUGCUGCAUGGCUGUCGUCAGCUCGUGUUGUGAAAUGUUGGGUUAAGUCCCGCAACGAGCGCAACCCUUAUCCUUUGUUGCCAGCGGCUCGGCCGGGAACUCAAAGGAGACUGCCGGUGAUAAACCGGAGGAAGGUGGGGAUGACGUCAAGUCAUCAUGGCCCUUACGGCCAGGGCUACACACGUGCUACAAUGGCGCAUACAAAGAGAAGCGACCUCGCGAGAGCAAGCGGACCUCAUAAAGUGCGUCGUAGUCCGGAUUGGAGUCUGCAACUCGACUCCAUGAAGUCGGAAUCGCUAGUAAUCGUAGAUCAGAAUGCUACGGUGAAUACGUUCCCGGGCCUUGUACACACCGCCCGUCACACCAUGGGAGUGGGUUGCAAAAGAAGUAGGUAGCUUAACCUUCGGGAGGGCGCUUACCACUUUGUGAUUCAUGACUGGGGUGAAGUCGUAACAAGGUAGGCGUACUACA
rnacentral:rRNA from 1 species